rnacentral:rRNA from 1 species
CACGCCGUAAACGAUGGAUGCUAGAUGUCGGGGGGUUGCCCUCGGUGUCGUAGUUAACGCGUUAAGCAUCCCGCCUGGGGAGUACGGUCGCAAGGCUGAAACUCAAAGAAAUUGACGGGGGCCCGCACAAGCGGUGGAGUAUGUGGUUUAAUUCGAUGCAACGCGAAGAACCUUACCUGGGUUUGACAUCCACGGAACCCUCUUGAAAGAGAGGGGUGCCCUUCGGGGAGCCGUGAGACAGGUGC